AGGUACUGUUGUUAUAGCAUCGUGGAUGGCCUCGACAACAUAAUCCACAUUUUUGGAGGUGAUGGCACACAUGUUGAUGCGUCCGCCUUCCUUCAUCAAGUAAAUGUGGUAAUUGUCGAUCAGUGUCAUCAGAGAAAACGACUUACGUCCAAGGCCAGUGAAACUGAACAUUCCAAUUUGGUUAAUGAUAUGAUCCCAUGUUCCUGGUGUGCCCUUUGCUCGCAGUUUGUCGUAGAGAAGCUUUCUGUUGUUUAGAAUUCGGUUAGCCAUAGUUUUCACAUUUUCUUUCCUGGAAAUAUAGAAAAUUAAAAUAAUUAAAACUUAUUUAUAAAGAU